AAUGAUUUAAUAAUGAAUAAUGAAGUAUUUGAUGAAAUGGAAGAAUUUGAAUGCUUUGAUGUUCAUGGAGUAACCUAAUUAAGAGCUGAUCAUUUUCACAGUAUGAGUGAUUGCACAGGUUUUAAAAAGUUUCAGAUGACCAAAGAAACAGUGAUGUGUAUUUCACCUUUGCUAGAACAUCAUCUAGAAUUUUCUGUAGAUAUCAGUCAAAGUUUCUCUUCAAUGAACUAACUCUUAAUUGGUUUAUGAUAUUUCGUUGGUAGAGCGCACUUAGACUGUACUAUGGAUUUUAUGGACAUUCAUCAAACAAUAGUGGUGAGAAUAAUUCCUUGAGUACCCAGAGCAGUGAUUAUACUGUACCAAAAAAAUUUUGUGAUGCCUCAAAUUGUAGACGAGCAAGCAAAUGUGAAAGAUUGUUGUUCAUCUAGCUCGUUUUCCAGACUUCAUUGGCGCCUUGGACUGCAUUUGCACAUAUAAAAAUUAAAUUACCAGGUGGAGAAGAUCCAGAAAUUUUUAGAAAUCAGGAAGAUUAUAUCUUCAUUAAUGUACAAGCCAUAUGUGAUGAAAGGAUUAAAUUUCAAAUAUUGUGGCACAAUGAUCAGUAGCUACACAUGAUAGUACUAUUUUUAAUCAUUGUUCAGUUUAAUAUCUGUUUGAAAAUGCACAACUACAAAGUUGUGUGC